rnacentral:rRNA from 1 species
GAUGUUGGGUUAAGUCCCGCAACGAGCGCAACCCUCGCCUCGUGUUGCCAGCGGGUCAUGCCGGGAACUCACGAGGGACCGCCGGGGUUAACUCGGAGGAAGGUGGGGAUGACGUCAGAUCAUCAUGCCCCUUACGUCCAGGGCUUCACGCAUGCUACAAUGGCCGGUACAGUGAGUUGCGACAUCGUAAGGUGGAGCGAAUCUCAAAAAGCCGGUCUCAGUUCGGAUUGGGGUCUGCAACUCGACCUCAUGAA